GCUCCCGUGGCACAACAGGAUAGCGCAAGGGAUUUCUAAUCCCAAGGUUGUAGGUUCGAGUCCUACCGGGGGCA
rnacentral:tRNA from 1 species